CCUACGGGGGGCCGCAGUGAGGAAUAUUGGUCAAUGGACGAGAGUCUGAACCAGCCAAGUAGCGUGAAGGAUGACUGCCCUAUGGGUUGUAAACCUCUUUUAUCAAGGAAUAAAACGAGGCACGUGUGCCUUUUUGCAUGUACCUUAUGAAUAAGUAUCGGCUAACUCCGUGCAAGCAGACGCGGUAAUACGGAGGAUCCGAGCGUUAUCCGGAUUUAUUGGGUUUAAAGGGGACGUAGAUGGGUUGUUAAGUCAGUUGUGAAAGUUUGCGGCUCAACCAUAGAAUUGCAGUUGAUACUGGCAGUCUUGAGUACAGUUGAGGUAGGCGGAAUGCGUGGUGUAGCGGUGAAAUGCUUAGAUAUCACGCAGAACCCCGAUUGCGAAGGCAGCUUACUAAACUGUGACUGACAUUGAUGCUCGAAAGUGUGGGUAUCAAACAGGAUUAGAUACCCUGGUAGUC
rnacentral:rRNA from 1 species